rnacentral:misc_RNA from 1 species
CCGUAUUCUGCUCACGUCGGAUUAGCUCUCUUCUCCUCGCGAGAAAGGCAACCGCGUGGCUUUACGAAACUUUUUCGCUACCGGACGUUUCCCUUCAGGGUGCGCGUGGCAGAUGCUAGGAGACUCCGUCCAGGGGUCCUUCGCUACUCUCUUUCGUUCGGUCCGCGGGCGAUAAGCUCUGUGCGAGAGAGUGAGGUUUACCAGUCUGUGGCGAGGUCUAGGGGAAAAAUAAAAAAAGGGGGGAGUCCUUCCUCCACCUCUGCACUUCGGUAUGUCAGCUCGUAGUGCCGGUACGUAUGUUACACGAAGGACCCGUUCUGUCGCUAGAUCAGCGAUGGUCUGGGUACGUUCAAAGAGCUCUUGGUGGAAACGCCAAGCCGCCGGCCAAAUUUCCCCUCGGUCGUCUAAUAUAUUUUUUUUCUACACGAUCAAGGACACAACUAGUUUGGUUGCGAGCCGUCGUCUUUUCGACGGCCGUCUCACUCAAUAUGAAACGUUAACGUACGACCGUAGGCGUUGGAUCACUCGGCUCGU